rnacentral:rRNA from 1 species
GGUUGACCUAACCGCGAAGGAGGGCGCCUACCAACGGGUGAGGCUUCGAUGUACGUGGGUG